rnacentral:rRNA from 1 species
AGAGUUUGAUCCUGGCUCAGGACGAACGCUGGCGGCGUGCUUAACACAUGCAAGUCAAGGAGAACGGAUCCUUCGGGAUACUAUUAAACUGGCGAACGGGUGAGUAACACGUAGGGAACCUGCCUUGGAGAUUGGGAUAACCCGGGGGGACCGGGACUAAUACCAAAUAAUGCAGCGGAUCCUUCGGGAUAUGUUGUUAAAGUGGGCUUCGGCUCACACUUCAAGAUGGGCCUGCGUCCGAUUAGCUUGUUGGUGAGGUAAUGGCUCACCAAGGCGAUGAUCGGUAGCUGGUCUGAGAGGAUGAUCAGCCACACUGGGAUUGAGAUACGGCCCAGACUCCUACGGGAGGCAGCAGUGGGGAAUUUUGCGCAAUGGACGAAAGUCUGACGCAGCAACGCCGCGUGAUCGAUGAAGCUUCUAGGAGUGUAAAGAUCUGUCGUGAGGGAAGAAAAAUCUGGAUGUAAAUAAUGUUCAGACGUGACGGUACCUCACAAGAAAGCACCGGCUAACUUCGUGCCAGCAGCCGCGGUAAUACGAGGGGUGCUAGCGUUGUCCGGAAUUACUGGGCGUAAAGGGUUCGUAGGCGUCUUGCCAAGUUGAUCGUUACAGCCACCGGCUUAACCGGUGAUCUGCGAUCAAAACUGGCGAGAUAGAAUAUGUGAGGGGAAUGUGGAAUUCCUGGUGUAGCGGUGACAUGCGUAGAUAUCAGGAGGAACACCAAUGGCGAAGGCAGCAUUCUGGGACCACUCUGACGCUGAGGCGCGAAAGCGUGGGGAGCGAACAGGAUUAGAUACCCUGGUAGUCCACGCCGUAAACGAUGAGCACUGGAUGUCCGGAGGGUUCGACCCUUCUGGGUGUCUCAGCUAACGCAUUAAGUGCUCCGCCUGGGGAGUACGGUCGCAAGACUAAAACUCAAAGGAAUUGACGGGGGCCCGCACAAGCGGUGGAACAUGUGGUUUAAUUCGAUGCAACGCGAAGAACCUUACCUGGUCUUGACAUCCUCGGACCGCUCUAGAGAUAGAGUUUCCUCUUCGGAGGCCGAGUGACAGGUGCUGCAUGGCUGUCGUCAGCUCGUGUCGUGAGAUGUUGUGUUAAGUCCCGCAACGAGCGCAACCCCUACCCUUAAUUGGCAUCGGGGUAUGCCGGGCACUUUAGGGGGACUCCCGGUGACAAGCCGGAGGAGGGUGGGGAUGACGUCAAGUCCUCAUGGCCUUUAUGACCAGGGCUACACACGUGUUACAAUGGGAGUUACAGAGGGAAGCUAAACCGCGAGGUCAUGCCAAUCCCAAAAAAGCCCUCUCAGUUCGGAUCGUAGUCUGCAACUCGACUACGUGAAGCUGGAAUCGCUAGUAAUCGCGGAUCAGCACGCCGCGGUGAAUACGCUCCCGGGCCUUGUACACACCGCCCGUCACACCAUGGGAGCCGACAAGGGCAGAAGUCGCCGAGCUAACCCAGUGGAAGCAGGCGCCCAAGCUGUUGUUGACGACUGGGGUGAAGUCGUAACAAGGUAGCC